AGAGCACAGUUUCCACUCAUUUCCUGGGCAGUACUGUUCUGAAAAGUCAUGACGGUCCCUUGGAAAUACCUGCAGCCUCUUAUUAGACCUAACUGCAGUCCAGAGCAGCUCCUCUCUGUGGAGUUGAUGAUGACAGCAAUGGUGACGAUGAUGAUUCCAUUUCUGUAUUAGUUUCCCGGGGAAGUCAUAAAAUAGUGCCGUAAACGUGGUGGCCAAAAACAGGACACAUUUAUUCGCUCAUCAUUUAGGUGCUGCAGAUUCUGAAAUCAAGGUGUCCACAGGCCCAUGCUUCCUCUGAAGAUUCGAAGGAAAGAAUCUUUUUCUUGCAUCUGCCUUGCUCCUGGUUGCUCUUGGGAAGUGGAAGCCAUGCAGAGCCGUGCCAGACGCUCUAUGUGGACCUGCCUGGUGGAGAAGCUUCGCAUCUUGAGAAUGUCUAGUCCGAGUGGAGCUGGAAGAUAUAUAUACAUAUUACACAUGCACACAUACACACACACACGCACAUAUACACACACACAUACACACACACGCACAUACACACAUACACACGCAUGCACAUAUACACACAUACACACAUAAACACACAUGCACCUACACACAUAUAUACACAUACACACACACACAUAUACACACACACUUACACACUUACACACAUGCACACACACACACACACACGUGCACAUAUUUAAAACGGAUAACCAACAAGUUCCUACUGUAUAGCACAGGGAACUCUGUGAACACAGCAUUUCUUGUCUUUCAAGGAAACAGCAGGUCGAAAGAAAUUGUAUUUGGAAUCAGGGAAAAUCUCUAUUUCAAGUCUGCAGAGACAACACAAAAGUGCAAGAGUGCCUUCUUCAAGCACAGCUACACUUUUAAACACCAUCUCUAUUUUUCUGGGUCUGCCAGGAGGAUCAGAGCUCUGUGUUAGCAGGGUUACCGAGAGGGAGGCCGUGAC
ensembl:lncRNA